rnacentral:rRNA from 1 species
ACUCCUACGGGAGGCAGCAGUAGGGAAUCUUCCGCAAUGGACGAAAGUCUGACGGAGCAACGCCGCGUGAGCGAAGAAGGCCUUCGGGUCGUAAAGCUCUGUUGUCAGGGAAGAACAAGUGCCGGAGUAACUGCCGGCACCUUGACGGUACCUGACCAGAAAGCCACGGCUAACUACGUGCCAGCAGCCGCGGUAAUACGUAGGUGGCAAGCGUUGUCCGGAAUUAUUGGGCGUAAAGCGCGCGCAGGCGGUCCUUUAAGUCUGAUGUGAAAGCCCACGGCUCAACCGUGGAGGGUCAUUGGAAACUGGGGGACUUGAGUGCAGAAGAGGAGAGUGGAAUUCCACGUGUAGCGGUGAAAUGCGUAGAGAUGUGGAGGAACACCAGUGGCGAAGGCGACUCUCUGGUCUGUAACUGACGCUGAGGCGCGAAAGCGUGGGGAGCGAACAGGAUUAGAUACCCUGGUAGUCCACGCCGUAAACGAUGAGUGCUAAGUGUUAGAGGGUUUCCGCCCUUUAGUGCUGCAGCAAACGCAUUAAGCACUCCGCCUGGGGAGUACGGCCGCAAGGCUGAAACUCAAAGGAAUUGACGGGGGCCCGCACAAGCGGUGGAGCAUGUGGUUUAAUUCGAAGCAACGCGAAGAACCUUACCAGGUCUUGACAUCCUCUGACAACCCUAGAGAUAGGGCGUUCCCCUUCGGGGGACAGAGUGACAGGUGGUGCAUGGUUGUCGUCAGCUCGUGUCGUGAGAUGUUGGGUUAAGUCCCGCAACGAGCGCAACCCUUGAUCUUAGUUGCCAGCAUU